UACGAAGGGGGCAAGCGUUGUUCGGAAUUACUGGGCGUAAAGGGCUCGUAGGCGGCCAACUAAGUCAGACGUGAAAUCCCUCGGCUUAACCGGGGAACUGCAUCUGAUACUGGAUGGCUUGAGAUUGGGAGAGGGAUGCGGAAUUCCAGGUGUAGCGGUGAAAUGCGUAGAUAUGCGGAGGAACACCGAUGGCGAAGGCAAUCCCCUGGACCUGUACUGACGCUCAUGCACGAAAGGCGU
rnacentral:rRNA from 1 species